ensembl:lncRNA
CUGGGACAGGCCUUCUAGAUCUUACUGAGGGGUGUGAACUUUGUUCUACAUGCCACCAGGCUCUUAAGCAGGGCGGUGCCAGGAGCAGAUCUGAGUCUUUGGAACAAGCCUCCUGACCACGUGUGGCGGUUGGCAUGGAGGGGGCCGAGGCUGAGGUCACAGAGAACAGCUGGGAGGCAGUUGCUGGAGUUCCCGCGAGUACUGAUGAGCCUACAGUGGGGCUGUGGGGAUGGAGAGUCAGGGAUGCUGGAACCAGAAAAGGCCAUGGUUGCAGGAGAGAUGUGAGAAAGACACUUGAUAAGCUGUCGGCAGCAGUUUCUCCUAAGGGGUCUGCCAAAAACUGCGUGGGAUUUCAGGGUCUGGCUUACUUCGCCUUCUUCAGGUCUGUUACAUUUCCCAGAAUGGUUCCCAGCGCUGGAGAUAAUUCCUUUUCGGAGAACCUACAUUUCUCACCUGCUGAUUGCAAUUAGCCACUGCCAGCUGGGGCCUGGUGUGCAGCUGAAAAGCUAACAAGAAGUGGAGACCACGCGGAACCCAGACAGGGCAGAGGAUGCGACUGAAUAAGGAAUGGUGCCCAUGUUUAUGAGCCGCUCCUGUGAAUUAAGGUUUCCCGACCUUCUGGAUGGCCCUCCCUCUUCCACCUCUAUGCUCCCCAUCUCUCCUCUAUUUUUUUUUUUUUUGUCUCUGGGUUUGUGGCCCACACUUAACAUCACAGUCACGAAUUUACCACAUUUUGUUAGGCAAUAAACAGCCUUGGAAGAGAAAUGAAAUUCGACUAGGACUUCUGUUCCAAUAAUGUCUGUGAGCUGUGGUGGACUCAGGCAGUCCCGCAUGCAGGUCAUAGAGCUAACCUUGAACGUGAGGGCUGGCAGGGCUUGGAAACGCCUCGGGGACUGCCUAAUCUGAACCCUUCAUUUUAUGGAUGAGGACAUUGAAUCCCAGAGGGAGGGCAUGGCUCGUCCAAAGUCUGAGAGGAAGUCACAAGUCUGAGUGAAGUCCACAUCCCCUGACUCCCGGGCCAGGGCUCUAACCACUGAACUGCCUUGCCUUUGAUCAUCAUUGGCAGCCAACCUGUAAAAUUUUUGAGGAAAGCACCAAGGAAAUUGCCAAGGGUUGGAUGAUAGUCUCUGUUGGGCAAUGUGGUCUCCAACCUAAGGGGACGCUUCUUUCCUUCCUCGUGGGCCGGGCCUGGCCCCAAUACCAAUGUCACACCCCUGGACAUUUUCAUCCAGGGUUGAUACUCGUGUUCCCAGGGCUCAGAGCUGCUGACUCCGAUCCCCUACCUGCAGCCUAAGGGGAGUGCUCGGCCUUUGGGGCUGUUUUGGGUUUGUACUGCAGGAAAUAGUAGGGAACAGAGGCGCAGCCAGGGGAAAAUGAGCAGCUGUCCUUGUUGGUUCCACAGCAGAAGUGAAGGGAGGCUGGCCUGGUGAGGUCUGUGACGUCUGGCGCAGCCAUCUCUGCCUGUUGGGAUUGAGCUGUUUGUACAGCCCUCCCCUACUUCCGCUUAAAGGCCAGGCAUUCCCUGCCCAACUCACUUUCCCCUGGGAGAGGCCGCCUCGUAGGGUUUAGGGUCAGAGAGUUGGCCAGGCUUCCAGGCCUCGGGCGGUAAUGAAAAGCACCUGGGCUGCGGACUGGAGGCCUAGUUCUGUUCUGUGGUCGGCGUGCUCUCAGCCUCUAUUUCUUGAUCUGAAACAUGGAGACUCAUAACACACGGCGGGUUGGGCUUGCUGAGAAGAUGAGAGAAGGAAACAUAGAUUGAAGACUCCAUUGUCUUGUCAUCCAUUGUUGGAGAUGAGCAGUCUGCUGCUUAUCUUGAAUGGGAGUUUGGUCAGAAGUGAGUGUUCCAGAUCAAUGAGAAGCUCAGCUUCAAGCACUUGUGCGAGACCCCAGACCAAGAGUGGCUCUGCCAUCUUCAGCACAUGGCUUCCAAAGUUACUCUAGUCCACUGCUGUCCAAUAGAAUAUUUUAUGAUGAUGGAAAUGUUCUAUCUUUAUUUGUGCUGUUCAAUAUAGUAACCACUAGCCACAUGUGGCUAUUUAACACUUGAAUUGUGG